GGUUCCAUAACACCAUCAGCAAGAUUGAAAGGCUGAGACUUAGAAGGCACUCAUUGUCUAUUGGGGUUGCUUGGACACCAUUUAAUAAAAGAUAACUACCAGUCCCUAUCAAACCUAUAAUCAGCAAGCAAAAUGUUCCUUAUCUGUAGGGAAUGGAAGGAUUUCCUCUCUAUUCCUCUGCAGCAAAGCUGCCCUUGAUCAUCACAGAGAACAAGGAAUUGUUGAUCUAUCAAACAAGUCCAACAAAAGUGGAAAAAUAAAUAAAAAUACAAACAAGAGCCUAUCAGUACAGACAGGGACUUCACAAACAGCAAAAGGCUCCACGUUCUGAAGAACAAAAGAGGAAGAGCACCUUCAAGGAAGAACAAGGCCUUUCCUUUGUCUUUCAUUUCUUCAUAGCUCUGUCUCUAGCUUCACAGUGCACACUGCUGGUUUAUUAUAAACCUAUUUCUUGGAAAGACGACACACAGUCACACCUACUAAUGGAAAGAAUGUAUCUGACAGGCAAACACCCAUCUAAGUCUGAGCCCCUUAAAUAUGAUGGCUUCAGUAUCCUUAAAGGUUUGACACACACCCUUCAUGGAAAACCCCCCACAGAGGUUAUUUUUAACUUAAUGAAGUAUGGUAAUAGUAGAGCAACCCAAUUUAGAAGGAAUUGCACCUGACAAGAAAAAGUAACGGCUGUGUCUAUGAAGACAUUAUUCAGUUAUUUCUCAUCUCAUCGGAUAAUAAUCUCAUAUGAAACUUCGAAUCAUGUUAAAACCAAACAUUUCUUCCCAUCAAUCUUAGGAAAAAGCCAAACACUUCCCAUGACUGGUGAAGCUCUGCAGAAGACUGCCCACUUCUCUAACCCCCUCCGGCCUCGUUCUUGCUCCUGUCUUGCUCCCUUCUUGCUCAAAUACACCAUUCUUCUUCCUGCUUGGACUUGUGUGUGCUUUUGCUUCAACUUAGGAUC